UAUAAAAGUGAACAUUUAGAGCUACCAUGAAGCUAUCUGAAAGUAUAUACUGAGGAGAGGCACUGUACAAUUAGCUUUUUGCAGGACCAAGAUGUAGAAGGAAUAAUUCCUGAUAAUGACAAGGGUGUGGAAGUGAUCAUGUGAAUCAUCCUAUUACAAACUCUGGAAAAUUAUGUAUAUGAAACAGUCUGCACUCUAUCAUUAUGCAAUUUUUGGUUGUCUUUCAUAUUUCUACAAGGCAUCACUCAAAUUAGACUCUAACACCUUAAAAUCCUUAAAAAAAAGAUUCACUUUCUUUCACACACACAAACAUUUACUGUGCACCAAUAACACAGAGUGGACUGGGGAUACAAUGAUGAGUAAGAACUGGUCCCUGCUGCUGAGAAUCUCACUGUCAGAGGGAGGAAACCAGAUUCAUCAACAGAUACUCAAAACAAGGUAAUAAAGCUGGUGCAACUGAUAGAAGGUGUAGGAGUCAGGUAUAGAAAAGGAAAGACUUCCAAAGCAGUAGUCAAGAAUUACAUCACCUUAUCUUGAGGUAGAAGAACCUGUUUUUAAUUCAUUUGCUGCCUCUAGAUCUGUCAUCAGAUGGGUGAUAGGAAGACCAUCUUUGCAGUUGGGAUAAUUAAUUGGAAUUAAGUAAAAGUGAGUGAGGCUUCUCCACAACAAAUGAGGCUUCCAACAUGGGACUAAAGGAGAAAAGGGAAUCUCUAAACUAGCAGGUUAAGGGAUCAUUCUUAAAGACAUGCUUAAAGUUUCACUGUAACUGUAAUUCCAAAUUCAGUGUAACCUAUCUCUCAACAGAAGCCCUUAACACAAAUUAUCUUUAUAAAGACUUAGGAGGUGAUACGAUCUAAAAUCAUCCAAAAUCACCCACUUGGAAGAAGGACCCUAAGUUAAUUAGUUGGGGGCCUCUAAAAGGCAUAAAUUUCACAGGAAUCACCACCACCCCAAAUAUAAAAAGCAAACAAACGUGAGGUGAAAUGACUUUAACAAGGCUGACGAGAAAGUGAUAAAGCAGCGAGUUAUUGCCAACAAGAUAGUGGAAAUACUGCAAAGGCACCGAUAAACAGAAAUCACCAAGCUCAAGAGAAACUGGGUAUAUAUCCAGAGAGAUCACGUUAUAGGGGACGGCAAGAAAGAGACGGUUCGAGGGAAUUUACCAGGAGGCGAUAAGCCAGCUGAAGAAGCUUCAACUUCCAGCAUGCUCAUACAAAAGCCACCGUCUGGGACAGAUGCCUUGGAGAGUCUAGAUACCGUGGAUGAUCCAGACACUGUGGAAGGCAUACCCAUUAUUGAAAAUGACCCCCUUUGCUCUGAUGACCCAUUUGGACCUGCCUUUGUGGUUUGAACUCAGCAUUUUCCCAUGGACAAUAUUUUGCUGUUCAACUUCUGCCUUUGAGCAUUGAGG